AUCCUUUCUACCAAACAAGCUUUAAGAAGAAAACAUCCAAAAUGAUAAAACCUCAAAAACUCCCGGAUCAUAAUAUUGCAUCACCCUGUCCUCACAAGUCACAGUCCUUUGUGACGAAACUCUGCUCAUUACGUCCCACACACCAGACGUUGUUAAUCAGGAUUCAGUACUGGCUUAACAGGGUCAAUUUUUUCUGGUUUUAAGCAAUAAGGAGGACUAUGUGGGCAUAAGACAGAAUUUGAAACCCCACUAUGGAUGCUGCCUGCAGCUGCAUGCCUCUAAGGCACUCCUUCUGCCCUAUUGCAUUGAUUUCACGUUUUCCUGGUCCUCUUAUCCGUAAGAAAACAAAACGCCUGCCUUAUCGGUCUCUUAUUCUUGAUAAUGCUGAAGGCUCUGCUUUGGAGAAGUCCUCCUCAGAAUCUGUUACCCGUCGUCUGAUUCUGCUGCGUCAUGCGGAAAGCACAUGGAGCAAUCAUUCUUUACGAGAUCAUGAGCGUCCUCUGAGUAAAGCUGGUCGCGCUGAUGCUGCCGAUGUCUCAUACAAGCUCCAACGUUUAGGUUGGGUUCCAGAGCUGAUCUUAUGCAGUGAUGCUGCAAGGACAAGGGAGACACUCUCGGUUAUGCAAGAGAGAUGCAUGGGCUUCUUACAGGCUGCAGUACAUUUCUUUCCAAGUUUCUACUCGGUUGCUGCUAUGGAUGGUCAAACUGCUGAACAUCUCCAACAAAUGAUCUGCAAAUUUUCCUCAGAUGACAUUCUUACAUUUCCAUUGGUUUUGAAAAUUAAGCAUGAAGUGUCUAUAUCCAUCUUUACAACACGAGUGCUCAAGGUGUAUGGGGCAUAACAAAGGCUGGGAGGAAGCAGCCUCCAUGUUCACUGGCUCAGUGAUUGAAUUGAAAACAUGCAAUGCUGCCUUGCUUGAAGCCACUGGAAAAUCAUGGGAAGAGGCGUUUGAGUCAGCUGGACUUGGGGGAUGGAAGCUGCAAGGUCUUGUGAAGCCAAAUAGCAGCCUUGAGAAUUAUGUUCCCACGUGAUUUCUUUUCAAACUACAAGAGUUAAGAAGUACUAUUAUGCAACACUUGCUGCCUAGUCUGCGACUUAGAUUCAUUGCCAUCAAUGGUGUACAGUAUGACGUACAUUGAAAGGGGCCAUAUUUGUCAACUCAUCUCCUUCUGUUCAGAUUCAGUGACUUUACUUAGCCGAUAUGAAGCCUGAAGCAAUGCAUGCUUACUUUCAUCGAUAAAAUGUGUAUGGCACUCUGCAGAAACAUGGUAAGGGUAAAGGGAGGGAAGGAGCAUAUAUAUUCCCCUCUACAUCUAUUUGCAUUUUUUAUAUAUUUAUUUAUACCUUAUUAUUACAUUGUUAGAGACAUUAUUUACCAUAUUACCCACUCAUUUAGUGUGAUUCUGUUAAAUUGCUCACCAACUGUAAUACCGUUAUGGCAAGGAAAAAGAAUCAACGUCAAAAUCUGAAAUAUCUUGUGUUGGUAGACCUAGUAAAAUAGUCUGUCAAGUCGGUUGUGGGUCGGAUAACUUCUCAUUUGUGUCAUUUUUGGGACUGAUUAUUUGUUUAUACUUGGCAGAACAGUAGCGUUUGUUGCGCCCUCUUAUCCUGUUGAUCGUA